UCCCUGGUGGCCGAGCAGUUAAGGACCAGUGUUGUCACUGCUGUGGCUCAGGUUCGAUCCCUGGCUCGGGAA
rnacentral:tRNA from 1 species